GUUAAUAAAUUAGAUAAACAGGCUGCUUGGGAGGAAGUUUUAAAAGAAGCCCAAUCCUUGCAACUGGCGUCGGACCAAAAAACAUGGACCUAUGCCAGGGACAGUUUGUUUGGGCUCUGGAAGAGUCGGACAUUGAGUAAAAGGGAUAACGCCCGACAAAUGGACUUAAUUGACUUGGUCAUUCUCGAUAUUCUGGAAUCAGACUCUGCUGUGGUAGAUGGACAGAAUUUCCAAGAAAUCUAUGAAAAUUCAGAAAAUCUAUCAUCAGCUGAGUCUGAGUCCAUAAUAUCGAUGACAGAGGAAACACCUAACUGCCCACCUCCAAACCCAAGGAAGAGGAAGAGCUCUACCACGUUUCCAAGUGAAACUUUGGAUAGAGAGAAGCAAAGUUUGUUGGAGCUACUGCAGGUUAAAGUUUACUACAGGAAACUUCUAUGUCUGAAAUUGGAGAGGGAGCUCCAACUUCCAGCCUCGGCCAUAACUCGGGAAAUUGCCGAGGCAGAAACUGCAGAUAUUUCUUAAAUGUUUAUUUGUUAAUUGUUUUAUAUUAUUUGUAUUUCUAAAUAAACCAUAAGUGAAUUUCAUAUA